AGGGUUGUCCAACAAACUAGAACAUUUACAUGACUUUGGCCUUCACACUAUACUCCAAUAAAAUAAAGGUUUUGAAUGUAUUUCUUAACAGGACAUGCAUUUAUUUGUUUAUCUCAAACUAGUAGGUCACACUUCCUCUCAGCAUUAGGUCUAACAAUGAGUAAUACUGCCUCUGAAUCCCUCACCUCUAACCUCUAUACUAAACUGCCUCCAAGUCUCUCAGCUCUUACCACUAGACCGCACUGCUUCCCUGUCCCUCACUAAACUCUAUACCAAACUGCCUCCAAGUCUUUCGGCUCUUACCACUAGACCGCACUUUCUCACAGUCCCACCCACUUGGCCACACUAUGGCCUUCCCAAAACUCUGUCCACUUGGUUGCAUUGGCAUAUGUAUUCCUAGCAGGCAACAUUUCAUUAAAGAAGCAUUACAAAGAAGAAUAUGAAGAUAUUUUUGUCCCGUAUUUAAUGGCUCAAGCCUGAAAGAAAAAAGAAAAAAAAAGAAAUAAAGAAAAAAAAAAUCAGGAAGAUCCCAUUUCAAAGAAGGGAAAACAUUCCGAGCAGACGGUCCUGAAGGAUUAGUCCAAGAGAGAGGAGACGGGUUGGUGUUUGUUAAGGCCAAUGCACAUCUGAAUACCAUACUGCAGUUGUCACCUCCGCUCUCCAGUAAGUUGAUAUGGCCUCUUCGCUUCAGGAAGCCCCCACCACUGAUAAGAAGACCCCCCAGCAAGCGCCCCCUGCUGUUUAUGUACAAAGAGG